GUGAGGAAUAUUGGUCAAUGGGCGGGAGCCUGAACCAGCCAAGUCGCGUGAAGGAAGAAGGAUCUAUGGUUCGUAAACUUCUUUUGCAGGGGAAUAAAGUGCAGGACGUGUCCUGUUUUGUAUGUACCCUGAGAAUAAGGAUCGGCUAACUCCGUGCCAGCAGCCGCGGUAAUACGGAGGAUCCGAGCGUUAUCCGGAUUUAUUGGGUUUAAAGGGUGCGUAGGUGGUUUGAUAAGUCAGCGGUGAAAGUUUGCAGCUUAACUGUAAAAAUGCCGUUGAAACUGUCGGACUUGAGUAUAAAUGAGGUAGGCGGAAUGCGUGGUGUAGCGGUGAAAUACAUAGAUAUCACGCAGAACUCCGAUUGCGAAGGCAGCUUACUAAGCUACAACUGACACUGAAGCACGAAAGCGUGGGGAUCAAACAGGAUUAGAUACCCGAGUAGUCC
rnacentral:rRNA from 1 species